CCACACAGUGCCUGGCAAAUGGAGCAUGACACAAUUCCUUCAAGACUUCCCAGCCUGCAGGAGGGAGUCGCUGGCUAAACCUGGAUACAGGCCGGGAUGCUACAACUUGCUGGUUGCUCAACUCUAGAUGGUCAACUGUCCGUUCCCAGAGCUUUGGUUUCCUCAUGCUGGCAGAUCAUCACUGAUGUCCAUUCCUUCCAGGUGUUUAGUUCGUAGGCCAGUCCUGAGUUGUUGAGUGAGAAAGUAGGAAGAGUACGCAGUGAUAACAUGAGGAGCAGAACAGAAGACUCUUUUGUGUGACCUGGAACCAAAGGUCAUCAUGCUGGGGCAGAGUGUGGAUAGGAGGCAGAAGGGACUACAUUUCAUGAGCACUUGUUAUAUAUAAGAAGUGUUAUUGGCUGGGCGCGGUGGCUCACGCCUAUAAUCCCAACACUUUGGGAGGCCGAGGCAUGAGGAUCACCUGAGGUCGAGAGUUCGAGACCUCGAGACCAGUCUGGCCAACAUGGUGAAACCCUGUCUCUAUUAAAAAUACAAAAAUGAGCUGCGCGUGGUGGUGUAUGCCUGUAAUCCCAGCUACUUGGGAGACUGAGCAGGAGAAUCGCUUGAACCCAGGAGGCAGAGGUUGUGGUGAGCUGAGAACAUACCAUUGCACUCCAACCUGGGCGACAGAGCAAAACUCUGUCAAAAAGAAAAAAAAAAAAAAAAAAGAAGUGUUAUUGAUGUAUAAUAAAAGCUAAUGUCUGCUGUGCCCCUUUCGUAUGCCUGGAGCUAUGCGUGUACUUUCCA
rnacentral:lncRNA from 10 species